rnacentral:rRNA from 1 species
UAGGGAAUCUUCGGCAAUGGGGGGAACCCUGACCGAGCAACGCCGCGUGAGUGAAGAAGGUUUUCGGAUCGUAAAGCUCUGUUGUUAAGGAAGAACGAGUGUGAGAAUGGAAAGUUCAUACUGUGACGGUACUUAACCAGAAAGGGACGGCUAACUACGUGCCAGCAGCCGCGGUAAUACGUAGGUCCCGAGCGUUGUCCGGAUUUAUUGGGCGUAAAGCGAGCGCAGGCGGUUAGAUAAGUCUGAAGUGAAAGGCAGUGGCUCAACCAUUGUAGGCUUUGGAAACUGUUUAACGUGAGUGCAGAAGGGGAGAGUGGAAUUCCAUGUGUAGCGGUGAAAUGCGUAGAUAUAUGGAGGAACACCGGUGGCGAAAGCGGCUCUCUGGUCUGUAACUGACGCUGAGGCUCGAAAGCGUGGGGAGCGAACAGG